rnacentral:rRNA from 1 species
AGCGAACGCUGGCGGCAGGCUUAACACAUGCAAGUCGAGCGCCCCGCCAGGGGAGCGGCAGACGGGAGAGUACCACGUGGGAACAUACCUUUUGGUUCGGAACAACUGAGGGAAACUUCAGCUAAUACCGGAUAAGCCCUUACGGGGAAAGAUUUAUCGCCGAAAGAUUGGCCCGCGUCUGAUUAGCUAGUUGGUGAGGUAACGGCUCACCAAGGCGACGAUCAGUAGCUGGUCUGAGAGGAUGAUCAGCCUCACUGGGACUGAGACACGGCCCAGACUCCUACGGGAGGCAGCAGUGGGGAAUAUUGGACAAUGGGGGCAACCCUGAUCCAGCCAUGCCGCGUGAGUGAUGAAGGCCUUAGGGUUGUAAAGCUCUUUUGCCCGGGAAGAUAAUGACGGUACCGGGAGAAUAAGCCCCGGCUAACUUCGUG